rnacentral:rRNA from 1 species
GAUGAACGCUGGCGGCGUGCCUAAUACAUGCAAGUCAAGCGAACGGACGAGAAGCUUGCUUCUCUGAUGUUAGCGGCGGACGGGUGAGUAACACGUGGAUAACCUACCUAUAAGACUGGGAUAACUUCGGGAAACCGGAGCUAAUACCGGAUAAUAUUUUGAACCGCAUGGUUCAAAAGUGAAAGACGGUCUUGCUGUCACUUAUAGAUGUAUCCGCGCUGCAUUAGCUAGUUGGUAAGGUAACGGCUUACCAAGGCAACGAUGCAUAGCCGACCUGAGAGGGUGAUCGGCCACACUGGAACUGAGACACGGUCCAGACUCCUACGGGAGGCAGCAGUAGGGAAUCUUCCGCAAUGGGCGAAAGCCUGACGGAGCAACGCCGCGUGAGUGAUGAAGGUCUUCGGAUCGUAAAACUCUGUUAUUAGGGAAGAACAUAUGUGUAAGUAACUGUGCACAUCUUGACGGUACCUAAUCAGAAAGCCACGGCUAACUACGUG